rnacentral:rRNA from 1 species
AGCAUGGUCUUAGCUUGCUAAGACCGAUGGCGACCGGCGCACGGGUGAGUAACACGUAUCCAACCUGCCUUAUACUCCCGGACAGCCUUCUGAAAGGAAGAUUAAUACGGGAUGGUAUCACGAGCCAGCAUUUUCUCGUGAUUAAAGAAUUUCGGUAUAAGAUGGGGAUGCGUUCCAUUAGAUAGUAGGCGGGGUAACGGCCCACCUAGUCUACGAUGGAUAGGGGUUCUGAGAGGAAGGUCCCCCACAUUGGAACUGAGACACGGUCCAAACUCCUACGGGAGGCAGCAGUGAGGAAUAUUGGUCAAUGGGCGCGAGCCUGAACCAGCCAAGUAGCGUGAAGGAUGACUGCCCUACGGGUUGUAAACUUCUUUUAUAAAGGAAUAAAGUGAGGCACGUGUGCCUUUUUGUAUGUACUUUAUGAAUAAGGAUCGGCUAACUCCGUGCCAGCAGCCGCGGUAAUACGGAGGAUCCGAGCGUUAUCCGGAUUUAUUGGGUUUAAAGGGAGCGUAGAUGGGUUGUUAAGUCAGUUGUGAAAGUUUGCGGCUCAACCGUAAAAUUGCAAUUGAUACUGGCAGCCUUGAGUACAGUUGAGGUAGGCGGAAUUCGUGGUGUAGCGGUGAAAUGCUUAGAUAUCACGAAGAACUCCGAUUGCGAAGGCAGCUUACUAAACUGCCACUGACAUUGAUGCUCGAAAGUGUGGGUAUCAAACA